AGUCUAAUAUUCAAAAAUGAGAUUAAAAUGCAAGUUUAAAGGUGAAUAGUAAUAUUCUUAGGCUU
rnacentral:tRNA from 1 species